GCGACUGGUGGAUGCAGAGGGUGGAAGGGGAGGAAGGCAAGGUCCGCGUCGUCGGCUCCGACACCACGACGAGUCGAGCUUGUCGAAAAUUCACUUCUGCUUCCAUUAAAACACGGCAUGCUAAUGGUGAUAUUGAGACUGCAGAUAGUGUCAUUAUAAUGACGGUAGGCCCACCGGACAUUUCUAAAAUGCAUCAGAAUGGAUUUCCUCAUGAGGUGUCAAAAUACUUUAUGCUCGGUUUUCCUGUUGAAUGGGAGAAAUAUAUUAAUGCAAGCAUGUCCGAGAUGAACGAUCAGCCACAGUCUCCACUAAAAUCGACUGAAUAUUAUAUAGAGAAGUUUUUGCAGGGAAACUUAAAGUAUUCAAUGGGACUUUUUGCAUGGGAUUAUCUCAACACAUCUGAGAGGUCUACAAGUGAUACAGACAGAUUUCCUAGCCAAAGGCAUUCUAAUUCUUCCAAUAGAAGACAUAACUUUGAGGACUAUGCCUUUGUGCAGUAUCAGGAAUCAAGUGCAGGACCUUCUGUAGAUACAGCAAAGAAUGCUAGGAAUCAGGUAGAGCAAGAUGCAGAUAUUCAACAGGAAAAUAUGCACAGGUAUUCAAGUGAGCAGCAAAUUGUUACUCAUUCAAAUGAGUCUGCUUUAAUUAAUAAUUGUACAAAUGAAGUAUCCUCUGGCUUAGAAGAUUGGGAAACACCAAAAUGUGGAAAAGCAUCAACAUGUCAAGGGACUAAAGAUGCAUUAGAUAUUACAACUGAAGGGAUGAAUCCACAGCUUGGAGUUAAUCAAGGCUCAGAAGACAAUACAGUCAGGCGAUUACGGAAUGGUAAAGUGUUUGGAAUGUCAAGUAGUGCUUCCUUAAAGAAGGUGGUCUGUAAGAGGGGUCGGAUGCAAGUCAAAACAUUCUUAGAGAAGAUUAUACCAAUUGAAGAUGUCACACAUCCCGCAGAUCUGAUUUCUCGUGAGAAGGUUGGCUCAGUUGCUGUGUCCAUGUCCGCUAAACUGCAAAUACAUGAUUCUCCCCGUAAAGGAGCUCACUGCCAUGUUACUUGGACAAAAUGAAACCUGGAAGCAUUUCCGGUCAUCUUCGCAAUUCAUCUUUGUUUCUUAAUGUGGGAAAAUAAAAGGGAAUCUGGAAACACUUUUCAGACCAGGACGACCGUCGAAGCGUGGAAAGAGGAAGAGGUCUUGAGCAUUCUGCCUGAAAAUCGGCGGUACUUUUUUAUUGCAGUAGUGGCUUAAUGUUUGAUUCAGUAUUGAGAACGCUACCAGGUCCAGACGUAAGUGCAGAACGAAUGGGAUAAUGUUCUGUAUAACCAGUGGGUUCUUUUGCAAGCACCAACUUGUUUGUAUCUAGAUUAGUACCGGAUGGCUGAAACAUGUACAUAAUCAGCAGCAGCGUUCUUCCUCCGACACUUCUGUAGUAGGUUGACUAAGGGUGCGAUUAGAUUCCAAAAAUUUUUGGAAUAAAUAUUACGUCAGACGUUUGAUCAGAUGCUUGAAGAGGUUUUCGGAUACAAAUGAAACAACAAAUUAUGGAUUUCGCCAAUAAACUACGAGACGAAUC